rnacentral:rRNA from 1 species
GCACGUAGUUAGCCGGGGCUUAUUCCUCGGGUACCGUCUGUGAUCGUCCCCGAGAAAAGGGCUUUACAUCCCGAAGGACUUCCUCACCCACGCGGCGUCGCUGCGUCAGGGUUUCCCCCAUUGCGCAAUAUUCCUCAUUGCUGCCUCCCGAAGGAGUCGGGGCCGUGUCUCAGUCCCCGUCCGGCGGAUCAUCCUCUCAGACCCGCUACCCGUCGUCGCCCUGGUGGGCCGUUACCUCACCAACUAGCUGAUAGGACGCAGACCAUCCCAGAGCGGCUUGCGCCUUUAGCCAGCCCCCAAUGCUGCGGGCGGCCACAUGCGGUAUUAGCAGCAGUUUCCCACUGUUAUCCCCCACUCUCGGGCAGGUUGUCUACGUGUUACUCGACCGUUCGCCACUGGGAGCAAGCUCCCCGUUCGACUUGCAUACCUUAGGCACGCCGCUAGCGUUCGUC